CGGCAACAGCUCAAAUUUGAAAUCUGGCUCUUUCAGGGUCCGAGUUGUAAUUUGGAGAAGAUGCUUCGGGUGUGGUACCGGUCUAAGUCCCUUGGAACAGGGCGUCAUAGAGGGUGAGAAUCCCGUAUGUGACUGGUGGCCUUCGCCCGUGUGAAGCUCUUUCGAC
rnacentral:rRNA from 1 species